GGCACCUCUGGCACAGCAAGAAGUAGUGAGGACAGAGGAGCAGUGUGACAUUGCACGGGAGGAUGUGGUCUGGAUCCCUUUGGCGUGACUCCAAGUCCUUGCUUGCACAGCAGCUCCUCAGCUUGCCCUGAGCACCAUGGCUGUGUGUGCUGCAGGCCACUGGAUCAGCCUCCAGAUGUGCUGUACUUCAGCCCCUGCAGCAGAGGGGAGGCUUUGCUGUGUCACCCUGCAUAGCUGAAGUGAAGGCUGAGGCAGAAGCCAUGUCUGCAGUUCUCAGGGAGUACAAAUCCAGGUCAGCACCUUUAGUGAACCUUGGAAAAACUAUUGUGUGAGCAGUCAGCACACCAAGGCAGCAGCACCCGUUGAGUUCCACACUGCAUUCAGUGAACUGAUUCUCAGGAUGACAGAAUCAUCACUUAACUGGAGCCAGGAGAGCCAUGGACCACCUGUAUGAGCCUUUACUCCUCCCCUUCUGCUCUGGUGAGU